UUAUCCAGCCAAAUCACCCUGCAGCCCAAGACCGGUUACUCACUGAAGCUAAGCAAGGCUGAGCCAGUUCAGUACCUGGAUGGAAGACCACAUGGGAAAACUAGGUUGCUGUUGGAA
rnacentral:rRNA from 1 species